rnacentral:rRNA from 1 species
CUGGGUUUGACAUGCACAGGACGCCAGUAGAGAUAUUGGUUCCCUUGUGGCCUGUGUGCAGGUGGUGCAUGGCUGUCGUCAGCUCGUGUCGUGAGAUGUUGGGUUAAGUCCCGCAACGAGCGCAACCCUUGUCUCAUGUUGCCAGCGCGUUAUGGCGGGGACUCGUGAGAGACUGCCGGGGUCAACUCGGAGGAAGGUGGGGAUGACGUCAAGUCAUCAUGCCCCUUAUGUCCAGGGCUUCACACAUGCUACAAUGGCCGGUACAAAGGGCUGCGAUGCCGUGAGGUUAAGCGAAUCCUUUAAAGCCGGUCUCAGUUCGGAUCGGGGUCUGCAACUCGACCCCGUGAAGUCGGAGUCGCUAGUAAUCGCAGAUCAGCAACGCUGCGGUGAAUA